UUUAUAUAGAUGUAAUGUAGAAAUGGAUUAACCUAAAUAUGUUAUACUAUUUGAGGGAAAUAUAGAGGGAACAUUUAAUGAAUUAAUUUGAGUUAUAUAUAUAUGACUUUGUCUUUGGAUGAUUGAUUAUCCCCUCACCACGGUGUUUCUUGAGCACUCUGAUAUAAAAAUUAAAAAACUAAUAAAACUUGUUUAUAAAAAAAAAAGUCCUGACCAGCUGAGCUUGGUUAGUUUUAUGCAACUAGGCAAAAUUAUGCAAUGCAAUUUAAUAAUAGGAAAAUUCAAAUGUUCAUGUAAAACAAAUUCACUCUUUGUUAAGCUAUGAGUACAAAUGGUUAGACAUUCAUGUUUUUAUUUAUGUCAAAAUAAAACUUUGUGGUUUGUAGAUAAUAGAGAUAAUGAAUAGCAGUUGCUCUUUAAAAUAAUGUGUGCAAAAUGUAGCUUAUAGGAUGCAGCAAUGUAAGAAGAGAAGGAGCCCAACUGUUGAUACAACUACACCCUCUGCUGUUUAACCACCAUAAUGGAAUAUCAGAACAGCAAAUCUGUUCUUUCAGGGUGAAAUAAAACUAAGGAAAUUUUGGAAUUGACAAUUAAAAAUAAACGUUUGGAAGGUUUCUCAUGGAAGAAAGUCUCAAAAGUAUGCAGAAUUGGAAGCCUGUUCCUCACUUUAGUCAAAUCACAGCUUAGUGGAGCUGGCAUGUCCAUUGUUAGCAGCUGAGGGUGGGAGAGAAGAAAAGAAGAUCCAUGGAGAAGAUCAUGUAUUGUGACUAUAGCAGAAGCGGAAUAAAUGGCUCUGGAAAUACUGGGGGGGGGGGAGAGCAGGUGGACCUGUGGGAUCUGAGAAAACAGCAGUGGCAAUGUCUGUGCCUAAAGAGAGGGAAAAGGGAAGGUUCAGGAAGGAAGGGGAGCUGGCGGAAAAGGAAGGGGAGCAAAAAGAUAUGCUACACUAGGACACGAUGAAAGGUGGAAGAGGCAUUGGCCUCGCUCUACUGACUCCACAAAUUCACUCCAAGCUCUUUCUGGAUUUUAUUUAAAGUCCAGAACGAAAAAAUGUUCCAGUUACUUCUAUUAUUUCUAGAGUUAUUAUGUUCUUAUUACCUAAUAUCCAGGGGUAUGUCAUCAGCAAGCCAUUGUAUUAAACAAAAAAAUGGGAUAAUUCCAUAUUGGCCAAAGCCAAAGUAUUGUAUUCACCUGCAACACUGGGAAUUAAUUAAUAUAUUUCAUCUCUCUAAAUAUUUGAAUAGCUUUUAUUUAAAUAAAUGGAGAAUAGCUUUUCAAAAGCCUUAUUAAAUGGGUUGCCAUCAAAUAUGCUUUAUGGUAGAUUUCAAAAAUUUCUGCUUCUCUUACAAGAUUUUUUCCUUGUAAUGGUACUGAUCUUGAAAUGGUGGAACGUAUUUUAUUGUAUUGUGAAUUUUAUAAAUCUUUUGCAGGAAAUUUUCUGGUCUAUUUUAACAUCUAAACCAGGCAUGUCAAACUGCUAGCCCACGGGCCAGAUGCGUCACGCUGAAACUGCGCCCACCCCAUUGCCGGCAAUGGGGAAAAAGUCAUGAUACAUCGCAUGACAUCACGUGACAUUGCAAGUUUGACAUGCCUGAUCUAAAUCAAGAAGAAGAGAUAUGUAAAAAAAUUACUUGAAGAUGAAAAUCCGAAGAUUACAAUGGUAACAGCCAGAUUUUUAACUACGGCUAUAUAAAAAAAGGCUUUUAAUAAUAAAUCAAUACUGAGGUUUUAAGCCUAUUAUGUGUUAUUUAUUAAAUAUUUUAUUGGAUAAAUUGUUGUAUCCAAUGCCAAGUUUAAUUUAUAUUUGUAACCUGCUUUUAAGCCUUUUGGCCAUAAUAAAAGUGAUUGAUGUUCUUA